GGAAGAUACUGCAAACUAAAGCUUAUCAGAGACACACAUUGUGAAAGCAUUUAAAGAAGGAGACAUUAACACAACAACACCUACAGAGAUGGCAAUUAUUUUCGAAUUCACUUCAAUUUUACUCACUCUGAACUGGAUUAAUUUUUUCUAAUCUUGUUAUUGUGUGAAAUGAGGACAACGAGACAUUCUCCCUACCUCGAAUCCUUAU
rnacentral:misc_RNA from 1 species